GGGCCCUUAGCUCAGUGGCAGAGCAGGUGACUCAUAAUCACUUGGUCGGGGGUUCGAAUCCCUCAGGGCCCA
rnacentral:tRNA from 1 species